GAAAGCUCACCAAUUUAGGUAUCCUGACCUUGCACAAAUGGCUAGAGAUAUCUUGAGUGUUCCAAUUUCUACAGUUGCUUCUGAAUCAGCUUUUAGCACUGGUGGUAGGAUACUUGACCAAUAUCGCAGUGCAAUGAAGCCUGAUGUUGUUGAGGCAUUAGUUUGUUGUAGAGAUUGGUUAGCUGGAGGGAAAGAAACUACUGAGGUGGGGUUGAAUGAUUUGACUGAAAAUAUUAUGAAUUUAUUCACAAAUGAGGAUACUGGAUCAAAACCUACUACAACACAUGAUUGAUGAUUCUAAUGAAAAGUUUGACUCAGUACAAAGGAG